UUGAAACAAUUGGUUCAGGAGGGCCUUACAGCCACACUAAGCAAACUUCAGAUUUUCUCUGUGCCAACUAUUCUUUUUUUUCAUAACGGGGAAAAAUCUUCGGAAAUUGUGGGUGCCGAUGUGACAAAGCUCAAACAGACAAUGGAGGGACUUUACAAGAAGGACUAGCCAAAUCAUAAUGACAUGAAGGAUUAGAGCGUGGAAGCUCUUUAUUGAGAGAUUUGAUGCCUAGAUUGCUAUAUUGUGCUUCUCUAGAGUAUUUUUCUCUUCCCUAUAUUAUCUUUCUAUAGGGGAACCUUGUUGUUUCACGCCUAACUUUUGAACUGUAAUUGUACGAUAUGUUUCUGACAAUUAAAGAAGAAUGUUACCCUUUAUAAAAUUUGGUUAUUUGGAGUCGCCUUACUUUUAUGGUCAGUCAAAAUAAAGUGCUUUUGUUAUAUUUGUCUUUAGAAGGUGCCCCAAACAUUAUUAAUAUUACAGGACACAACUUCAGUCACUUCUGACGAAAAAUAACCCUGACCUGUAAAUUUUGUGAAUUGUUGAAGUUAUUUUGC